GCUUGUCUCAAAGAUUAAGCCAUGCAUGUCUAAGUAUAAACAACUUUAUACUGUGAAACUGCGAACGGCUCAUUAUAUCAGCAAUAAUUUAUUUGAUGGUUCCUUACUACAUGGAUAACUGUAGUAAUUCUAGAGCUAAUACAUGCGUAAAGUCCCAACUCUCGCGGGGAGGGAUGUAUUUAUUAGAUAAAAAACCAAUGCGGGCUCUGUCCGGUUUUGUGGUGAAUCAUAGUAACUUAUCGAAUGGCAUGGUUUCAUACCGGCCAUAUUUCAUUCAAAUUUCUGCCCUAUCAGCUUUCGACGGUAGUGUAGUGGACUACCGUGGCGUUAACGGGUAACGGAGAAUUAGGGUUCGAUUCCGGAGAGGGAGCCUGAGAAACGGCUACCACAUCCAAGGAAGGCAGCAGG
rnacentral:rRNA from 1 species